rnacentral:rRNA from 1 species
UACGGGGGGUGCAAGCGUUGUCCGGAAUCACUGGGCGUAAAGGGCGCGUAGGUGGUCUUGUAAGUCUGUGGUGAAAGCCCGGGGCUCAACCCCGGGUCUGCCGUGGAUACUGCGAGACUUGAGUACUGUAGAGGCAGGUAGAAUAUCGGGUGUAGCGGUGGAAUGCGUAGAGAUCCGAUAGAAGACCGGUGGCGAAGGCGGCCUGCUGGGCAGUAACUGACACUGAGGCGCGACAGCGUGGGGAGCAAACAG